UACGUAGGGUGCGAGCGUUAAUCGGAAUUACUGGGCGUAAAGCGUGCGCAGGCGGUUUUGUAAGCCAGAUGUGAAAUCCCCGGGCUUAACCUGGGAAUGGCAUUUGGGACUGCAAGGCUGGAGUGUGGCAGAGGAGACUGGAAUUCCCGGUGUAGCAGUGAAAUGCGUAGAUAUCGGGAGGAAUACCGAUGGCGAAGGCAGGUCUCCGGGCUGACACUGACGCUCAUGCACGAAAGCGUGGGGAGCAAACAGG
rnacentral:rRNA from 1 species